GAAAGCAUGGACUUUUAACUCACUAAAACUAAGAAACAAACUAGGAUUAGAUACCCUACUAUGCUUAGUCCUAAUCUCAGAUAUUAACCCCCACUAAAUAUCCGCCAGAGAACUACAAGUGAAAAACUUAAAACUCAAAGGAUUUGGCGGUGCUCCACCCAGCCUAGAGGAGCCUGUCCUAUAAUCGAUACCCCCCGAUCAACCCAACCACCCCUAGCCCCG
rnacentral:rRNA from 1 species